CCUACGGGGGACUGCAGUGAGGAAUAUUGGUCAAUGGGCGCGAGCCUGAACCAGCCAAGUAGCGUGAAGGAUGACUGCCCUACGGGUUGUAAACUUCUUUUAUAUAGGAAUAAAGUGAGGUACGUGUGCUUCUUUGCAUGUACUUUAUGAAUAAGGAUCGGCUAACUCCGUGCCAGCAGCCGCGGUAAUACGGAGGAUCCGAGCGUUAUCCGGAUUUAUUGGGUUUAAAGGGAGCGUAGAUGGGUUGUUAAGUCAGUUGUGAAAGUUUGCGGCUCAACCGUAAAAUUGCAAUUGAUACUGGCAGUCUUGAGUACAGUUGAGGUAGGCGGAAUUCGUGGUGUAGCAGUGAAAUGCUUAGAUAUCACGAAGAACUCCGAUUGCGAAGGCAGCUUACUAAACUGCCACUGACAUUGAUGCUCGAAAGUGUGGGUAUCAAACAGGAUUAGAUACCCUAGUAGUC
rnacentral:rRNA from 1 species